rnacentral:rRNA from 1 species
UACGAAGGGGGCUAGCGUUGCUCGGAAUCACUGGGGCGUAAAGGGUGCGUAGGCGGGUCUUUAAGUCAGGGGUGAAAUCCUGGAGCUCAACUCCAGAACUGCCUUUGAUACUGAAGAUCUUGAGUUCGGGAGAGGUGAGUGGAACUGCGAGUGUAGAGGUGAAAUUCGUAGAUAUUCGCAAGAACACCAGUGGCGAAGGCGGCUCACUGGCCCGAUACUGACGCUGAGGCACGAAAGCGUGGGGAGCAAACAGG